GAAAGAUAAAGCACACCUGAAAAAUGCCCUCAUAAGACCAACUAAAUGAUCAAUAAAGUAAAUUAGUAUUUUAAGACUAAUGACUUCUUCACCGCAAGACAAUGGCUAAAAGAACAUAGGUUCAAAAUGUAUAGAGAAAUGCUUCCUCCACCACGAGUCAGCCUCCUCAUUUUCUGCAGCAUUUUCCAUCUGUGUCAUUGGCGUAGUACACACGUGCCUGACCUAGAUGUUUACUGGCAUUUGCAGCAUCGUGAUUAUCUUCCUCAUCAUUAUCUUUGAAGCCCAACUGAAAUGAUGCCCUGUAACUACGGGUCUGUGAGUUGUUUUGGAACAGGAUGUAUCAGCCUGUCAGCAUUGUUUGCAACAGAACUGAAGAAUAGCAAUUUCCCCGAGAGAGAGAGAGUGAAAGAAAAAGAUCAGAAGAAUGUAAGAGAAUGCUGUCUUCUUAACUUCGGUCUCCCAGGGGAUGUUAGAGCUAACAUGUCAUACUUCAUUGUUGCCUUCUGGAUACCACAUCUAAUGGCAUGGAUUUCAUAAUUUUCUAUUUUUUUU
rnacentral:lncRNA from 1 species